rnacentral:rRNA from 1 species
AUGUUUACUAUUCCAGUUAAGUCCCAUCUCAUCCAUGGCCUUGGCCGAUGUGGCCCCAACAGUAAGCUGAGCUGUUUGGGUGUGAUAACACAUGGCCGAUUUCGUCCAGCGCUGGCUGGUGAAUUAUUGCCCAGGGCCCCCACCCUGACAUCCACGAUGAAUUAUUGGUCUUGUAGUACAAAUUACCUCUCCUUGGCUGCAUGUGGCUAG